GACCAGUCGAACGCAGUAGAAAUACUUGAGUGGCGGACGGGUGAGUAACGCGUGAGAAUCUAGCUUCAGGUCGGGGACAACAGAGGGAAACCGCUGCUAAUACCGGAUAUGCCGAAAGGUGAAAGAUUAAUUGCCUGAAGAUGAGCUCGCGUCUGAUUAGCUAGUUGGAGAGGUAAAAGCUCACCAAGGCGACGAUCAGUAGCUGGUCUGAGAGGACGAUCAGCCACACUGGGACUGAGACACGGCCCAGACUCCUACGGGAGGCAGCAGUGGGGAAUUUUCCGCAAUGGGCGAAAGCCUGACGGAGCAAUACCGCGUGAGGGAGGAAGGCUCUUGGGUUGUAAACCUCUUUUCUUAGGGAAGAAGCUCUGACGGUACCUAAGGAAUAAGCAUCGGCUAACUCCGUGCCAGCAGCCGCGGUAAUACGGAGGAUGCAAGCG
rnacentral:rRNA from 1 species